GCCUCAAAUGAUGAUACAAUCUGAUAUUUACGGUUUGAAAAAGGUGCAUGCAGCAUAAUUGAGUGAAGUGAGAA
rnacentral:sRNA from 1 species